rnacentral:rRNA from 1 species
UCAGAUUGAACGCUGGCGGCAUGCCUAACACAUGCAAGUCGAACGGCAGCGCGGGCUUCGGCCUGGCGGCGAGUGGCGGACGGGUGAGGAAUACAUAGGAAUCUGCCCAGUCGUGGGGGAUAACCCGGGGAAACCCGGACUAAUACCGCAUACGACGGUGACGUGAAAGCCGGGGACCUUCGGGCCUGGCGCGAUUGGAUGAGCCUAUGUCGGAUUAGCUAGUUGGCGGGGUAAAGGCCCACCAAGGCGACGAUCCGUAGCUGGUCUGAGAGGAUGAUCAGCCACACUGGGACUGAGACACGGCCCAGACUCCUACGGGAGGCAGCAGUGGGGAAUAUUGGACAAUGGGCGCAAGCCUGAUCCAGCAAUGCCGCGUGGGUGAAGAAGGCCUUCGGGUUGUAAAGCCCUUUUGUACGGGAAGAUAUCAUCCGGGUUAAUACCCUGGGUGGAUGACGGUACCGUAAGAAUAAGCACCGGCUAACUUCGUGCCAGCAGCCGCGGUAAUACGAGGGGUGCAAGCGUUAAUCGGAAUUACUGGGCGUAAAGCGUGCGUAGGUGGUUGUUCAAGUCUGUCGUGAAAGCCCUGGGCUCAACCUGGGAAUGGCGAUGGAAACUGGGCCGACUGGAGUGCGGUAGAGGAUGGCGGAAUUCCCGGUGUAGCGGUGAAAUGCGUAGAGAUCGGGAGGAACAUCCGUGGCGAAGGCGGCCAUCUGGACCAGCACUGACACUGAGCACGAAAGCGUGGGGAGCAACAGGAUUAAAUACCCUGGUAGUCCACGCCCUAAACGAUGCGAACUGAUGU